rnacentral:misc_RNA from 1 species
ACGGACAUUGGCGAUUACAACGUCAAACUUCGCAAUCUGCAGAAAUUUUUGGAAAACGGUGACAAAUGCAAGGUCACGAUUCGUUUUCGCGGUCGUGAAAUGGCUCACCAAGAGCUGGGAAUGCAACUCUUGGAUCGUAUCGAGGCCGACUUAGAAGAAUUGGCGGCUGUUGAACAAAGGCCCAAGUUGGAAGGGCGGCAAAUGGUGAUGGUGCUAGGAGCCAAGAAAAAAUAAGCAGUUUAUUUCGGACGUGCGGGUAAACGGUACACCUUCAUGUCUUUCAUAAUAGGAGUCCAAAGAUGCCGA